rnacentral:rRNA from 1 species
CGUGUAGGCGGGUAUAUCAGUCAGAUGUAAAAGACUACGGCUCAACCGUAGAGGGUCAUCUGAAACAGUAUAUCUUGAGUUCGAGAGAGGGUAGUGGAAUUCCUGGUGUAGCGGUGAAAUGCGUAGAUAUCAGAAGAACACCAGAUGCGAAGGCGGCUACCUGGCUCGUAACUGACGCUGAGGCGCGAAAGCGGUGGGUAGCGAACA